rnacentral:lncRNA from 1 species
CUUUCCUUUCCUUCUUUCUGUCUCGCCCCCUCUCUGCUCUUCUAUACCCUAUUUUUCUUAGUAUUUCACCCCAUAAAUCCUACAAAGCUCUGCCCCGUUUUAAGUGUUUUAACCCCUGAUUACUGAUUCGAUACCCUGUCCGAUUGAUCUUGAACCCAACAACGGAUGUCAAGGCAUUGCCUGAUUAAGACUAUGCUUUGUAAACUACGUUGGGGUUCUAAUCUCGCGAUGUAUUGAUAAAGUUGAAUUGGGUUAUUAUACUAACACGAGUGCAAUGUAUAUUUUAAGAGCUCAGGAGUUAUACCAAAGGUUAUACCAGGAGGCCUGUAGUUAAACCCUAAAGUUAUAAAGUGAAUCAUUCUUUCUUUUUACUACAUGCUUUGCAAAACCCUAAAUGUUUUUAGUUAUACUUACAGGGAUUAAGUCUUUGUAUUCUACAAUUACUGCCAGUAUUAUGUUGUUUGUAUACAGUACUUGAUAACCUUCAUAAUUGGACAAUGAGUUAGCCAAUGUGUGAUAUGACCAUAGUCACAGAUCCGUCGAGUGACAAGUACUUUGGAGUUUUUGUUAGACCAUACUUACAGGCCUUGUUCUCUUUUCCUUAAAGGCUCUCGUUCCUUGGAAAAGUGUGGGUGAUCCAUAGAUAUUGGUUCCUCAAUGUCCAAGUAUGCCAUGGUCAUGAUGCUUCCUAAGCGUUCUUUGCUUGGAAGAUAAGACAUUGAUACUUAUGGAAGAUCUUAAUGCCAACCGAAGCCUCUCUAAAGUUAGAGUUCCAACAUUCUAUCUUUGAUCAUCCAUGUUAAGAAUAAGUUAUCGGUAGAUUAGUUCACCAAAUAUAUGUAAUAAAUGAGAUUUGAAUACACUUGUUACACACACUUAUACUUGAGCUUGAAGAUCAUGGAAGAACGAUAAAUGCCAUGGGUAAAAGUGUUAAGAUCU